UACGUAGGGUGCGAGCGUUGUCCGGAAUUAUUGGGCGUAAAGAGCUCGUAGGCGGUCUGUCGCGUCGGAUCCGUGAAAACUUGGGGCUUAACCCUGAGCUUGCGGUCGAUACGGGCAUGACUGGAGUUCGGCAGGGGAGACUGGAAUUCCUGGUGUAGCGGUGAAAUGCGCAGAUAUCAGGAGGAACACCGGUGGCGAAGGCGGGUCUCCUGGGCCGAAACUGACGCUGAGGAGCGAAAAGCGUGGGGAGCAAACAGG
rnacentral:rRNA from 1 species